GAUCAGAAGAGGACUCUCCUGACCAGCCUGGGAAAAGUCUGAGCAGAGUCUGCAGGGGCAAAUACAACUUACUCAGACAAAAAAGGCUGUCAGCAGCAAGUCUAGGCAGAAGCCAGGAGGAGUUAGGAACAGACUAUAAGAAAUGGUUGGUCUGGAGGAAAAAGGGUAAAACUUAUGAGCCAUUCACUGAUGUAUUGGUAAGAGGACAGGAGUCCUGGGGAAAGACUGCCUCAUUUACACUCCAAAGACUUGGGUUCUGAUCUCCAUGUCGUGGCUUAUCAUAGUGUAAGCCAGUUAUGUACCUCUAGAAAUGGAAGUUUCUGCUGUUUAUAAACUGGAAAUAAUGAUACAUGUCCUGACUCCUAUUGGGUUGUUGCAAAGGAAUCAAUUGAAAUAAGACAAGACUUUCUGAAGGCACUUUGCCAACUUUCAGAACUGUAAAGAUUAAGGGACUGCUACUAUGUGCUGCUCAGGAAAUAACAGGCACCUGGGAAAACCCACGAAGUAAGGUUUUGUAAGAAGUUGCUCUGCUCCCUGGGAGAAAACGCGGAGCUCAACACUGCCAAGAGGAACAAGUCUGGGAAAUUACGACAUGAGGGCCCUUGUGAAUUGAUGAAUAUGAAGACACUAAGAAAGCAGAAAUAGAACUGAGAAGAAUGAAAUAACUGUCUCUACCUUUCUCGAAUUGUCUAAUAUGGAAAGAAUGAAAGACAGCUAAUAAGCAACUCUCUGCAAGAAGACAUAUGGCUUAGGUUCUGCUGAGCUAUUGGUGAUUUGAUUCCAUGCAUAUGUAUUCACUACUGAGAUGGGAUCUUGCUAUGUGGCCCAGGCUGGCCUCAAACUCCUGGCCUCAAGAUAUUUCCCCCUGCCUUGGCCUCUCAAAGUGAAUCUACUUGGAGAGAGUCAAACACAGAAUCCCUUUGAAUUUAAUGGCCAUUCCAGGUGAUUUGAACAGCCAAAUAAGAAACAGGUCCUCUUCAAUGUACAAUCUGCCAAGUAUGAAGUCUGAAUGACCAUCAUUAUUAUGUAUUUAAUGUGCAUAGAAAAUCUAUCUGCAACCUUCCAGAGUGUACCAGAAGUUUGGAAUGUACAUUAUUAUUGGCUCCAUCUCAAACCACUCAUAAAUCAAAGAAAAUAGCAGUUCCAGAGGAAUCAUCAUAGAGGCUUCUAGGCCCCCAUGCUGUGUGAACCUGGUGAGAAAGGGAAGUCUGCUCUCACUGGACACUGGAACUGUUUGUCUCUGUCUCUGCUGUACUUUCCCUGCCUCUACCUCACUUAGUAAAGAAAUCAUCUUUGCUUGAUAACUAAAACAACCAAUAAGGCUGAGAAAGGGGAAAACCCACAUCUGGAUUUAAAUACAAGGUAUUGGGCCAGCUGCUGGGGAUUAAACUUUGAACAAAACAGAUAGAAUCUAUGUCCUCAUGGGAGUGGCUAAUGGGAGAGUCGGAACAAAAAAAUAGCCAAGGAUAAUCCAGCAAAUGAUUUGGUGAAUGCUAUCAAAGAGAGAAAUACACAUGCUCUGGGAACACCAAGAAUAAACGAGAGAAAGGGACAUUAAUAUAUAUUGAAUAUCUGCUGUGUCAGGCACCUUACAUAUAUUGAUUGCUUCUUCACUUCUUUUAAUCUUUACUACACCACAUGAGGCUGUCAUAGAGAUUCUGAGAACAAAUUGUCUAAUUGAGAAACUGCUGAGCAUUGGAAAUGAGCUUGCCAGGGGAACAGAGGGAUACCUGAAUAGCGAAUGCAAGGCAGUUCAAAACUCAAACUCAGGCCACUGGAUUUGCUGCCCACUGCUCCUUGUAUGAUCGCCCUUGGGCACCACAUCCAUGUAGAGUCUUCUUCUAAGAGGCAAGGAAGGUCAAAGCUGAAACCACACAUCCCAGAUUAUGAUUGAGGUGUUUUUAUAGAACUUGUUUAUUUACAGCGUCUAUACUAAAACUUAUUUUUGGAAGCUGUAGUCAAAUAAUGUUUCUUAAGUGCCUUCACAGGAUAGACCAGCAAUAGAUGCUGUGGAAGAAGUGCAUGAUGUAGCUCCUGACCUCAAGACACUUUUCCACUGGAUACGGAUACAGGGCAUAUCUCCAGGGAGAUCAUUCAGGAUAAUGCCCAGUCAUCAGCAGGCAGUGCCAUAUGAAUGCAUAGCAAGUUAUGCUCCAGGAAGCAGAGGAAGCAGAGCACAUGAGGAAUGGGCUUCUAUGUGUAGCUGGAGUCUCACCUGGGUUUUGAAUUCAUAAAUAGUGUUCAAGGAGGAAGCAGGGAGGGUAUAGCUCUUGAUAGGAAGUGAUGGGAUGGCGAUACGAAUAUAUGUUCCUUGUUUGAAAUACCACAUGAAGGGCAUGUGGCUGUGAAACCAACUUUGCAAAGAUGAUGACAGUGAGAGAAAUCUAGCAUGGCUGACUCCAUCUUGCUUCUAGCCUCGCAGGCUGGCUACCCUCACUCACUCUUGGGCAUAGGCCCAGCUAACCAUGGGAGUCAUUUGAUUUAUAGAUUAACUUUGAAACAAGAAUGAUAAGAGUCUCUCCCUAAAACUGACCCCUUCCUUGUUCAGGAGCUGAAACUGCCUUUGUAAGACUAAUGAAAGGCCACAAGAUUAGGAUUAUGGGAGAGGCCUGGAUUCUGCUAAAAUGUAGGUGUAGUAAAUGAUAAACAGACAUUGAUCUCCAGUUGGCUUUUCUAUAAUCCCUUCCUGCUCCGGGGUCAGGUGGCCAGAGGCACAAGAUUUGUGGCUUCCGCAAAUUCUCCUGUAGGUAACAUCACUAUUGUAGAAUUUGAGAUUGGUCUUUUGAGAUGUUUUUCAGGCUUUUGCAUUCUGGCAACUCACUGACCCCAUGACUCAUGACUCAACCUGUUCUGUGGCCCCCACACAGAGGCUAGUUCAGUGCACAAGAACCAUUUUCCACACCCCUAUGUUGUCAUUCCCAACCAAUCAGCAACACCCACCCCUGAGCUCCCUGCCUGCCCAAUUAUCCAUAAAACUCUAGCCUCUGAGUUCUUGGGAUGGCUGAUUUGAGCAAUUAUUCCCAUCCUUCCAUUCAACUAGCCCUGCCAUUAUUAAACUCUUUCUCUACUGCAAUACAUCUGUCUCAGUGAACUGAUUUUAUCUGUGCAGUGGGCAACAAUUAGCCAUUGGGUGAUUAUAGCUGGAAAAGUGCCUACCUUGUGGCAGUUAAACAUGAGGUUUGGAGGGAGACUACCUACAUCUAACCACCACUGACCACCAUUGUAGUUGAGGUUCUGGUCAACUUAUUAACCCUUUGUGCGCACAUGUGCAUGCGUGCACACACACAGACACACACAGACACAUUUUCUCAUGUGUGAAAUGGGGACCAUAAUGUUGGAUCUCCCAGUGUUGCAGGAAGGACUCAUUGUAACAGAACAUGAAAAUAUUUAAUGUGCUGCCUAAUGUAUAACAGACACUGAAUAAAAUAACCACUGUUUUCAUUAGUAAUGGUCUUAGAUACCUAGCUAAGGCAAAAAUUUACUCGAUUUCCUGUCCCUCAUCUUUCAAACUUACUUGGGUUUGUAACCAUCCUUGCUUCCUUCCCCUCUUUUCAAAGUGUUAUUUCCUUUCAAAGUUAAUCCUUUCACUUGAUUCUCAUUCCAUCACGUAUUGUCUUCCUUC
rnacentral:lncRNA from 1 species